rnacentral:rRNA from 1 species
AUACGGAGGAUGCAAGCGUUAUCCGGAUUCAUUGGGUUUAAAGGGUACGUAGGUGGCUGGAUAAGUCAGUGGUGAAAACCUGCCGCUUAACGGUAGGCGUGCCAUUGAAACUGUUUGGCUUGAGUACAGUUGAGGUAAGCGGAAUGUGUAGUGUAGCGGUGAAAUGCAUAGAUAUUACACAGAACCCCGAUUGCGAAGGCAGCUUACUAAACUGCCACUGACGCUGAUGUACGAAAGCGUGGGUAGCGAACAGGAUUAGAUACCCUGGUAGUCCACGCCGUAAACGAUGCUCACUGGCUGUAUGCGAUACACCGUAUGCGGCCCAGCGAAAGCGCUAAGUGAGCCACCUGGGGAGUACGCCGGCAACGGUGAA